rnacentral:rRNA from 1 species
AUUGAACGCUGGCGGCAGGCUUAACACAUGCAAGUCGAGCGGAGUGAUGGUGCUUGCACUAUCACUUAGCGGCGGACGGGUGAGUAAUGCUUAGGAAUCUGCCUAUUAGUGGGGGACAACAUCUCGAAAGGGAUGCUAAUACCGCAUACGUCCUACGGGAGAAAGCAGGGGAUCACUUGUGACCUUGCGCUAAUAGAUGAGCCUAAGUCGGAUUAGCUAGUUGGUGGGGUACAGGCCUACCAAGGCGACGAUCUGUAGCGGGUCUGAGAGGAUGAUCCGCCACACUGGGACUGAGACACGGCCCAGACUCCUACGGGAGGCAGCAGUGGGGAAUAUUGGACAAUGGGGGGAACCCUGAUCCAGCCAUGCCGCGUGUGUGAAGAAGGCCUUAUGGUUGUAAAGCACUUUAAGCGAGGAGGAGGCUCUUCUGGUUAAUACCCAGGAUGAGUGGACGUUACUCGCAGAAUAAGCACCGGCUAACUCUGUGCCAGCAGCCGCCGUAAGAC